GACGAACGCUGGCGGCGUGCCUAAUACAUGCAAGUCGAGCGGAGCACUUCGGUGCUCAGCGGCGGACGGGUGAGUAACACGUAGGCAACCUGCCUGUAAGACCGGGAUAACUACCGGAAACGGUAGCUAAGAACGGAUAACUGGUUUUGCCGAAUGGAGAGAUCAUGAAACAUGGGGCAACCUAUGGCUUACGGAUGGGCCGGCGGCGCAUUAGCUGGGUGGUGGGGUAAAGGCCUACCAAGGCGACGAUGCGGAGCCGACCUGGGAGGGGGGACGGCCCCACGGGGACUGAGACACGGCCCAGACUCCACCGGAAGGAAGCAGUAGGUAAUCUUCCGCAAUGGACGCAAGUCUGACGGAGCAACGCCGCGUGGGUGAGGAAGGUCUUCGGAUCGUAAAGCUCUGUUGCGCUAGACGAACGCUUGGGAUAGUAACUGCUCUCAAGGUGACGGUAUAGGAGAAGAAAGCCCCGACUAACUACGUGCCAGCCGCCGCCGUAAGAC
rnacentral:rRNA from 1 species